AGUUAAUGGCGUAGUAGUUUGAGCAUUUGACUAUGACUCUAGAGGCCAGGGUUCAAAUCCUUGCUUGGCCA